rnacentral:rRNA from 1 species
UCCUACGGGGGGCAGCAGUGAGGAAUAUUGGUCAAUGGUCGGGAGACUGAACCAGCCAAGCCGCGUGAGGGAGGAAGGUACAGAGUAUCGUAAACCUCUUUUGUCAGGGAACAAAGGCGGGGACGUGUCCCCGGAUGAGGGUACCUGAAGAAAAAGCAUCGGCUAACUCCGUGCCAGCAGCCGCGGCAAUACGGGGGAUGCGAGGGUUAUCCGGAUUUAUUGGGUUUAAAGGGUGCGCAGGCGGUCUGUUAAGUCAGCGGUCAAAUCCCGGGGAUCAACCCCGGCCCGCCGUUGCAACGGGCAGG